UAGCUGAUUUAAAAAACCAACUUAAUUUAGAAAAGUUGCUCAAAAAGCACAAAUAAAAACAACUGCCGACACAAAAAUAUUUUUUAUUUGUGUAGUUUUUGGAUAAUUUUUUAAUAGUUUUCUCAAGUUUUGGUGAAAUGGGUCAAAAAUUAUAUUUAGUAGUAGUAAGCGGCACCCCCUGCCGACUGCUGGCAAAUCUUUUUUUCUGUUCCUAAUGUCGGCAUUAAAUAAUAUAACAGAAAAAUGCUUGACUUGUAAAUUUUUUAAGUUAUAAAAUGAUAUUUAGACUGUUAUUUACUUUAAUAAAAUAUUUCUGAUUCCAAAAGUAUUAAAUUUAAUUUACUUAAAUCGAUUAUUAAGUUGACACCACCACUAUUUUUUUCUUUACAAACAAGCACUAUCGCAUGCGAUGGAAGACACUCACUGACGAAAACCGUUAUUCUCUCGUAAUAAAUGAUCGGAGCUCAUUGUUUUUUUACAGAAAGAGAGCAGAGAACACUGUUGACGUUUUUUUUCAAUUAUUUCAUUAUUUGGUCAAUUCUAUUCUUAGUUAUUUAAGCUUAAAUUUCAAAACUGCCGACUACUGGGACAUGCCGACCUUAGGCGCACUUACCCUACAUACUAGUGUGCCAAAUUUUAGACUCCGCGUUAAAAAUGUGGGUUAUAUCAUGGCACAAUAAAGAGGCAGAAAAAUUUCGCAAAACUACAGAAAUACAGCCCGUAAGCUGUACCUGCUUCCCGUCAAUUUUUUUUUAAUUACAUGAAAAAUGUCAUUUUUAUAACUUUAAUAGUUUAUCUCAUUUUUUUAAAUAGGAUCCAAACUGUUCAAUCUUUCAAUCUCAUGGCAAAACAGGUUAAUACAUGGUACAAUGAUAUCAAGGUAGGGCUAUGAUACCAUAUGAUUUUAAUUUUUUUUAUUUUCUUGGCUUAAUAUGUCAUCUUUAUUUGUUUAUGUAUGUGUUUUCUUUUCAAUAACAAAAAAAUUGUUCAGAAAAUAUUCGGUUGUUUUCAAAAUGUUUAUAUCAACGUAUGCAUCGACAAAAUCUAGAGUUUUUGUAGCGAAACAAUCAUUUAAAGAUAUAUAGUACAUGAUUUUGAAAAUAAGUAUUGACCUUUCAUUCAGUUAUCGCGGUUUUCAAUUAUUUAUUUAAAAUAAAUGCAACAAGUUGUUUGAUUUUUUAUUGUUUUGAUACUAAUUUUGACAUUACAAGCCAAAUAGGUAGACCUCUAUACUUGCAAUUUUUUCAAAGUUGACCUACCUUCUCUUCAUUGUACCAUGGGUUAAUAUCCUUUAAGCGCGCCUUACAAUCAUUUUGCUUUCAUUUUUCAAAACUGGUAGGUCUCCUUACCUUUUUAUUGUACCAUUUUGUUUUCAAUGGUGGAGGGUAUCAAACUCAGGAAACUCUACAUAUGAUGAGGGAUUUGAACUACUAAAUUGAGUUUCUAUACAAAUCUUUAUCCGGGUUAACUCUGAUUGUCGAAAAACAAUAAGUUUGAAUAUGGAAUACAAACACAAGUGGUUAUUUAUAACGGUUAACACAGUUAAAAAUGAAGCAAUAAACAAUUAAAUGGAAAUAUGAGUCGAAACUCUUUAUGGUUCUGCAAAUUAUGUAUGUCACUUUGCACUAUAAUGCUGUGUUAACAUUGCAUAUUUUUGCCUAAACUAUUUUUCCACAAUACAUUUUCCAGUCUUUACGAUACUAUGGCCCAUUCUUCUUUAUAGGCCUUUAGGAAAAGUAAAGGAUUUAGUUCACAUUAUCGGGUUUUCAUAGCUAUUUAUUUCCUUUAAAAUAUAUUCAUUUUUUUUCCAGAGAUAUGACAAUAAAAUGAUUAAUCUUUGUGAAUGGUAGUCACUGGAAUGGUAGUCUUAAUUUUAGUUAAAAAAAUCAAUUUAUUUGAAUCAAUUUCGAUGUUAUUGUCAUAUUAUCAAUAUAAAAUGUGGCAACAGUAAACUUUACGUUAGAAGAUAAAAGGAAAAUGGUCUGACCUCUUGCUUUUCGAACAGUUCAUGUUUAAAUGAAACUUGUUUUUUCCGACAACAUCAUUUUUCUAUAUAACGGAAAGAUGUAAUAACAGGCCUAUGUCUUUGAGCACACUAUCUUACAAAUGAAUGGACACAGGCCGAUUAUUACAUCUUUCCGAUACAUAAGAAAUGUUUUGUUGUGCAAAAAAUUCUUUUUUCGUUAUUAUAAGUUGCAUUUACAUAUGAACUUGCCGAUUUCUCUAGUUAUAGAAAAGAGAGUAAAAGAUUUCGAAGGUCAGGAAAAGGAAAUAGAAAAGAAGAUGUAUUCUUCUACCAUGGGGCUAUAUGUGUAAUUAUACGCACGUGACAUGGUACAAGAAUAUAGGUAGAUGCAACAACGCUUGGGAACAUUAAUGUCAAAAUUGUUGGUGUUUUGUAAAAAUAAGUAGAUAUUUAUAUGUUUUCUUUUACGACGCAAAUCGGAGGUUGUUUUUCAACAAUUUUUAAAUAAUUCCAUAAUUUUUUAUUCAAGAUUAUCAAUUCCAAAAUCGGGUAGAGAGUUCAUUGUCCCCGCAUCUGAGUCGAUGCGAUUACCUGAAUUCUUCUACCAUGGCACGUGAGCAUUUGGUAAGACUAAAAAGAACAUUUACAUACAAAUCUUUAUCCAGUUUAACACUGACUAUUGAACAAUUAUAGUAAAUGUGACAAUGGAAAGCAUGGCCCAUGGUAAAUGGUAGAAGAAUGGAGGUAGAUGCAUCAAUGUAGGGAACAUUGAUAUGUCAAAAUUUUUAAAAUGUUUUGUUAAAAAUAAGCAGAUCUUCAUAUGUUUUCUUAUACGAUGCAAUUGUAGGAUGUUAUCACAAGAAUUUUUCAACUAUUAUUACAAAUUUAAAUUGUUUUUCAUUCAAAAUGUUUAAUUCCAAAAUUGGUUUGACAGUUCAUUGUUCCAGCAGCUGUGUCGAUAGUAGUAGGUAGUCACAACGACGCCAAGCGGGGGUUCUUGUGAUAUGCAUUUUUCAACAAUUUAACCGAAUUUGAAUAAUAUUUCAUUCAAAAUUUUCAAUCUCAAAAUUGAUUGACAGUUCAUUGUCUCAGCAGCUGUGUCGAUGCGACUACCUGCAUCCUUCUACAAUGGUCUAUCCGAAGUACGUUUACAAACAAAAUCUAUACCCGGGUUAACCCUGACAAUGACCCAUUCAAAUUAAUCUAACAAUAUAAAACAGACCUUAAAUUUAUUGUGAUUGGUUAAUUAUCAGGGUUGACCUGGGUAGAGAUUUUGUAUAUAAACGGACUUUACAAAGGCAUUCGGUUCGACCAACUGAUUUCACCCGCAUUGUCAAAAUGCACGUAAGUAAUCAUUUAAAAAAGUAUGAAGGUUUGUCAACCUCAAUGGCAGUUUUUCAUUGUGAGGGCAGAACUACCAUAUGAUUUAAAUUUUUUUAUUUUUCUGGCUUAAUACGUCAACUUCAUUUGCUUAUGUGUGUGUCUUCUUUUCAAUAAUAAAAAAUUGUUCCGAAAAUAUUCAAAUUCGGGUGUUUUCAAAAUGCUUAUUGCAACGAAUGCAUCGACAAAAUCUACAGUUUUUGUCGCGAAAUAAACCAUAAGAGAUAUAUAGAACAUGAUAUUGAAAAGAAAUUUUGACCAUUCAUUCAGUUUUCGCGAUUUUAAAUUAUUUAUUCAAAAUCAAUGCAACAAGUUGUUUGCUUUUUUAUUGUUUUGAUAGCAAUUCUGACAUUACAAGCCAAACAGGUAGACCUCUAUACUUGCAAUUUUUUCAAAGUUGACCUACCGUCUCUUCAUUGUACCAUGGGUAGACGCAUCGACACAGCUGCUGGGGCAAUGAACUGUCAAACCAAUUUUGGAAUUGGAAAUGUUGAAUGAAAAAUUAUUUAAAUUUGUAAAAAUUGUUGAAAAAUGCAUUUUAUAACAACCUCUGAUUUGCGUCGUAUAAAAAAAAAACAUUUAAAAAUCCACUUAUUUUUCAUAAAACAUUUUAAAAUGUUUUGACAUAUCAAUAUUCCCAAGCGUUGAUGCAUAUACCUAUAUUCUUCUACCAUGAUUAAUAUCUUAAAAUUAAUUUUGAUCGAAAUUAUUUCGAUAUGGAAUGCGAGAAUUACGGCCUAGAGCGCAAAUAGUGGGCGUUUUAUAAGGUGUUUGAACUGCACUCUUUUGUUUUAUGUGGGUGCGUUUCCGAAUCACACUCUAUCGAAAUAUAAAGUAUACUCGAUUUUUCCUGCGCCCAGGAGUCCUGCUGUUCUAAUUCCAGUAAAGAAUGAAACUACAUUUUCGGAGAUGUAGUGUAUAUCACUAUUCCCUGCAUUUAGAAAAAACGAAUGAAACCAGUUGGUCUAUUCGAAUGACCUAGCCCGUGAUCAUGGCCUUUCUAUUAGGUCAUCCGGUAAGACCAGCUUUUUUUUUCAGUAUUGUCAAAAUCCAUGCAAUUGAGAAUUAAAGAUGGGAAAACGUAAACAAAUGUUUGCCAGUAUGACGAGUUGAAAAUCGAGUUGAAAGUUCAUUGUCCCAGCAAUGAUUAUAUUUUUGUUUGUAUUCUGUUUUUUAUUUUCGCUGGAGGGAAACCUGUCAACUGAUUUUUGUAGAUGCAAAAUUUUUGAUAAUAGUGCAUCUUUUGUUUCCAGCUUUCUGAAAAUAUUCCAACUCUUGGACAAAAAGCAAAAAACAAAAUUUACUUGCGUUUGAAUGUUCAUACACCAUUCAACAUUAUAUCUUUCAAUCAUAAUUUUCAGUCUUCCUGAAAAUUUUCUAAGACUUUUUCUAUUUGAAUUUUAAAAUGACAUAAUUUGUUUUUUCGAUAAAUCCUCUCAUUUGUUAGGGAUGGCACAUAUUUCAUCUUUGUUAUGUAAGUGAUUUGAAUGGAAUAAAGAACAAAAAUAUUUGUUCGCUCAACAAGUUUUAUGUGGGGAAUCAUGGUAGAAUGAAGAGAAGGUAGGCCAACUUUGAAAAAAUUGCAAGUAUAGAGGUCAACACUUCUUUUCAAAAUCAUGUACUAUAUAUCUCUAAAGGAUUAUUUCGCUACAAAAACUCUAGAUUUUGUCGAUGCAUACGUUGAAAUAAACAUUUUGAAAACACCCGAAUUUGAAUAUUUUCUGAACAAUUUUUUGUUAUUGAAAAGAAAAAACAUACAUAAACAAAUAAAGAUGACAUAUUAAGCCAAGAAAAUAAAAAAAUUAAAAUCAUAUGGUAUCAUAGCCUUACCUUGAUAUCAUUGUACCAUGUGGGGAAUUAAGAAGAUAUCUAAUGAUUAACGGUCUAACAACGAAUAGAGAGCGAAUCAAGUGCCAUGUGAACUUAGCAUUAUGUAGAAAACUACACAUGGUAGAAGAAUACAGGUAGAUGCAUCAACACUUGGGAUCAUUGAUGUGUCAAAAAAAUUUAAAUGUUUUUUCAAUUAUAAGUAGAUUUUUAUAUGUUUUCUUAUACUACUUCAUUAUAAUCCACGUUUUUCAACAAUUUUUAUAAAUUUAAAUAAUUUUUCAUUCAACAUUUUCAAUUCCAAAAUUGGAAUGAGAGUUCAUUGUUCAGCAGCUGUGUCGACGCGUCUACCUAUAUUCUUCUACCAUAAAACUACACACCGAUUGCAAUAAACAUUUGUGAAAAAAACGUAUUUUAUUCAUAAACGUUUUUUUGGAAUUGAGCUACAAAAAACUUCCGGAAAUUACCCUCACUUAAAAAUGUGCUAUGAGAAAAAUAAUACCGUAAAUAUAAAUUACCUGGUGUUCCUGCUGUACUGAUUUAGAAAAAAUAUUGAUAGAAUUUCACAAGUGGCCUAAACUUUUAGCUGACUAUAUCAACCCCUCCGUAUGUGUUACCAUCGACGAGUAAUUCCUUGGUUUCCGCGGGAGAUCGCAAUUCCGCCAGUAAAUGCCAUCGAAGCCUGAAAGAUAUGGAACAAAAUUUUGGCUGGUCUGUUCCGAAACUUGCUAUGUGUGAUUUACAGCCGUAUUUGGGAAACAAGUCGGAGAUCGAGCCGAAAAAGUCAAGGGAAGCGCGUAGUUUUAAAUUUGUACAGAGCAUUGAAGGGCCAUAAUGUAACAAUGGAAAAAAUAUUGGCUCAAGGGCUAACGAUGGUAGGUACCAUGCGGAAAAACAAAAAAGCAUACCAACAAAACUUUUGGACUGUAAAAAUUCAUUGUACAUAUCCACUUUAGCAUCAAUCAAUAAUGCGACGCUUGUAUCAUAUGUGGUUAGGAAAAAUAAAUGUGUAAUUCUACCAUGUAUUCUUCAAGUA